GCCCGCUUGGCUGAGUGGUACAGCGUUUCACUAGUACCCCAAAACUGGAUAGUCUAUGAAAAGAUCCUCGGUUCGAUUCCGAGAGUGGGCA